rnacentral:tRNA from 1 species
GCCUUCAUGGUGUAAUUGUCAACACACUCGGCGCGUGUUCGAGAUGCUCGAGGUUCGAGUCCCGGCGAGGGUA